ACAAAAACAUGUCCUUUUGAGUGGAAUUUUAGGUCGGGCCUGCCCACUGACAUUAGUUGAAGGGCCGCGGUAUUUUGACCGUGCAAAGGUAGCAUAAUCAUUAGUCUUUUAAUUGAGGGCUGGAAUGAAUGGCUUGACGAAAUAUUAACUGUCUCUUUAUAAUAAAUAGAAUUUAACUUUUGAGUCAAAAGGCUUAAAUAAAUAUGAAAGACGAGAAGACCCUAUAGAUCUUUAUAUACUUAUAUGAGUAUUUAUUUAGUUGUAUUGAUUAUAAUCAUAUAAUUGUAUUUUGUUGGGGUGACAUGAAGAUAAAAAUAACUCUUUAUAAUGGGAACAUUGAUUUAUGAUUAGUUGAUCCGUUAUUAGCGAUUAUAAGAUAAAGUUACCUUAGGGAUAACAGCGUAAUAUUUUUUGAGAGUUCUUAUCGACAAAAAAGAUUGCGACCUCGAUGUUGGAUUAAGGAAUAUGAUUAGGUGUAGCAGUUUAAUUAAUAAGUCUGUUCGACUUUUAAAUCCUUACGUCAUCUGAU
rnacentral:rRNA from 1 species